AGUGGUGACGACGGGCGCGAGUUGUAAGUUGUCUCCGGGCGGAGGGGAAAUGGUAUGUUAGAAGUUAUCUAUCGUGCGUUUAACGUUGGUUUCAUGUCACUUCAUCCGAGAGUGGCAUCAAUUAAGAAUCAUGGUAGAAGCGGGAAAGCAAGAUAUGGAAGCAAAAAUUUCUUUGCUAUUACGAAAAUGCACCAGAUAUCAUCUGCAUACGUUUCUUUAUAAUUGCGAAAUGGCAACAUCCGAAUCUCACUUUCCAGUUCCGUCCAAACGCAUCGCAUUUAGAUCGUCCGUCACAUCCGUGAUCCCCAAUUCAGCAUAGGCAUCCCCUUUCCCGACCCUCUCCACCAGCUCCUUCAAAGCAUUCCCGGCCCACCUAAAGUCCUCCAGCUCCAGAUAAGUUUGCCCACUCAGCCGUGUCCAUAACCAACCGCCAUGCGGGAAAAUCGGAGCAGCAGCGUCAUAUUCACACAAAAACUUCUCGAGUAUCCAUUUAGCAACGGCCAUUGCAUCUCUGCGCUUGAUAACAGGAUACUGCGAAUCCUUCUCAACAUGUCUGCCACUACCAUCAUCAACCGCAAGAGGUAAACGAACAUUGGCGAAGGCACAUUGCCGGAUCUUACUUGCUCCUAUCACCUUAGGGUCCACGCCAGGCUCGCUCAUCACGUCUGUGCCGAGUAUUUCGGCCACGGUAUUGCCGCCCUCAUGUGCUAAUUGCUGGCAAUAUGACAUGAUCCUUUCCUCGCCACCACAAACUUCUUCACGAAAUUUAAGAGCGGCUGGGAUGCAGUUGUAUGGCGAAUCAUCGUUUGUGGCAACAAAUUCAAAUUGGAACUCGAAGUCAGACUUGCCUUUUUGCUUUGGGAUUGGAAGAGAUACGUCCAGGUUCUUAGGGACAAAGCCGUGUGAGGUGGGAAGCGUUGUGCGAAUUAAGUGUUGGUUGCGGAUAGGGACAUGGAAUACUGCACAACCGCGGGGUACGUAGAGCCAUCUGGUAAGCAGCGUUAGUCAUGUUUGUAUAUGGUAAUGGAGACAUAGAUUUUUCGACUAGGAUUUUUCUCUCAAAAGAGAUCGCCACUAUUGUGGGCAAGCUUGAGCUACCCGCCUCGGGAGGUGGGGUGGCGGGGGUAGAAUCUGGGAAUAAACGAGGACAGCACAUACUUGUGGCAAUUGCUCACGAAAAAAUCCGCAUCCAACUUUCCCAAAUCAAGAGGAAUGUGGCCGACUCCAUGUGCACCAUCCACGCAGCUCAAAAUACCCUCCUUCCGGCACUCCGCCACAAGUUCCUCGAAUGGGAAUCGAACGCCAGGGUUACUAACGAUAGUAUCAAAAAGAGCCACGCGAACAUUCAAGCCUUCACUCCUCAGCUGUUUUACUACCUCGCCAAAGCGUUUCAUGAUCUCCUCGUGGGUGGUAGGGAACGAAUAUGGGACCUUGCGCGCUUGGACAGGUGUGGAUUCCAUCAACCAUGCGAUGGUCUUCUCACACGCAGCGUAUACGGUAUCAAAGUAGACGAUAACGUCACCUGGUGCAUAUUGCAGGUUUCGAAGGACGAUAUUCACUCCCGUCGUAGCAUUUUUGGUGAAAACGAUCUCGUUCAUGGGAGCGUUGAGCACCUUUGCCAGCUCCUUUCUGGCCACAUCGACGUAUUUCGCCUGCAGGUAACGGAAGAACAAGUCUGGUUUGGCCUCAAGCUCGUCUUGGAAUUUCCGGGCCUCAUCCCGGACAACCGCAGGGAAAGUUCCAUAUGAUCCUGGUUGAUAGCUUUGUCAGUCAAUGUCUACACAAAGGGGACCCAGUGAUCUCAAAGCUGUAAUGGCGUGAAGUGGCAUGAGAAGCUCCAGAGAACAACAAGAAUAACAGGAGACAGGAACAGGAGGGAAUAUUUGCCAGUCUGCUCUGACUCACCGUGGUUCAAAUUUUUAUAAUUUGGAUCGAGUAGAAAAUGUUUGAGCAUCGGAUGCCCAAAAUCGGUCAAUUUGUCAGAAGUCGUGAUGGAUCCCAUGUCGAAGUAUUCGCCUGCUCAGAGAUAUUAUUCACCCUUAUGGAUAGCUAUCCUGAUCAGGAUUUUCCUUGCGCACGCAAUUGGGGCCUGCUGACUGAGUGGAAAUGGUAGUCUCUUGAGGAACAUGAUAUCAGCGUUUAUGCAGCUCGAUGCCCAUCUACCGGGGAAGUGAGUAGAGUCUUACCGAUUUCACCAGAAACGACCAGUAUUAUAUGCCUUUCCGCCCACUUGCUAGAUAUUAUUUAGCAAGAUAGCUAGACUCAAUUGAUGUUGCUAUAAACCCUCUUCAGCCCAUCUUGUCUCGUUUGAACCGGGAUUGGAUUGGCGUUUAAAUAUCAUACCUUCGG
rnacentral:sRNA from 1 species